UACGAAGGGUGCAAGCGUUAAUCGGAAUUACUGGGCGUAAAGCGCGCGUAGGUGGUUCAGUAAGUUGGAAGUGAAAUCCCCGGGCUCAACCUGGGAACUGCUUUCAAAACUGCUGAGCUAGAGUACGGUAGAGGGUGGUGGAAUUUCCUGUGUAGCGGUGAAAAGCGUAGAUAUAGGAAGGAACACCAGUGGCGAAGGCGACCACCUGGACUGAUACUGACACUGAGGUGCGAAAGCGUGGGGAGCAAACAGG
rnacentral:rRNA from 1 species